UACGUAGGGGGCAAGCGUUGUCCGGAUUUACUGGGUGUAAAGGGCGCGCAGGCGGGAUAGCAAGUCAGAGGUGAAAUCCUACAGCUUAACUGUAGAACUGCCUUUGAUACUGUUAUUCUUGAGUUCGGAAGAGAGAGACGGAAUUCCAGGUGUAGUGGUGAAAUACGUAGAUAUCUGGAAGAACACCAGUUGCGAAGGCGGUCUCUUGGUCCGAUACUGACGCUGAGGCGCGAAAGCGUGGGGAGCAAACAGG
rnacentral:rRNA from 1 species